UGUGCGUGUGUGUGUGUGUGUGUAAGAAGCCCACAAAAACACUAAUGCAGCGACUUAUGAAAGACAGCCAUUAUUGGAGUUGGCUUUUAGCUCCAUGUGAUCUGUAAUUCUGUAUGUUAAUGGCAGAACUUUAUUAACAUUGAAAACUGAGAGACAUUACAUCAAGAAGGGCAGCACAUCCGGAUACCUUAUUAGGAUUUGAGACAGAACAUUGUUUUUAUUUUUUUUCAAAAUUUAAUUCAAUCUAGAUUCACCAGCAGAAGGAAUUAAAUGUACGCAAUCAAGUAAUCUUUAGUAUCCAUCAUUAACAAUUUGAUAGGGAACAUAUAGAAACUAGAUUUCACUUGAGCUACCUAGAAGGUUUAAAUAGAGCUAGACAGAUAGGCUAUUCUUGUGAAUGGUUGCUUUUGAUGGCAGUUAUGACUUAUGACACAGAAGAACCAAUUCUUAAGGUGGUUUGCUGGUUGUUCACAUAUAACACCUUAAAAAAAGUUUGGCGAACUCUUGACUUUGUUGAUCUUGAUCCACUUCUUACAAGCAAUGUCAUAUUCUUAUUCUAUGUGGAUAAGUGUUUGUUUAAUUGCUUGGUUAAUUAAAAGUAAGAAUUGGAUGAUUGGGCUUAAAGAAAAGAAAAAUUGAAUGAAAGAUACAAAAAACGAGUUAAUGGCAAAAUUGAAUAUAAGAUCCAAAAAAUGAGUUAAUGGCUACAAAUGGUGUGUUAUGUAAUUAUCUAAAAAUUUGUAUCAGCCAUGCUUGUUCUUUGCCUCCUAUCUGGUCUACAUGAAGUGUUGAGAUUUGGAUCACAAAAUUAUUCAGCUUCCUAAGUUGAAUAUUUGCAUACAUACAUAUGGAGUAUAAUUAUAGCUUCUUUUGCCCUUGGCUCUGAUAACAUUUUUGGCCACUUUGAUUUGAGUUAAUCUUGGCAAGUUUAUAGGGGAUGACAGAUGUAGACAUGGAACACAAAUUUAUUCUGUAACUUCUUAGAGUUUGACUUCAGGUUGAAGUUAGGUGACUUCAAAAGUGGAAUUGAUAACCAUAUAUUGUAGGUUAGUAAUGUUUAGGAUAAAGUUUAUAGAUUACAAUGUAACUUGAAUUUAAUUCUUUUAGACCGAAAUGGCUGUAAAAGCAGCAGCUAAUGCUGUUACGUUUCAACUGCACGAUAAAAAAUGUAGACUACAUAUGUAGCUCUACUAACACAACUCCUAAUGGCUUAAUUACAACUAAUUCAAAGUCAUGAUGAUGGCUUGAUUAUCAGUAUAAAAAGCCAUCUAAUGGAUUGACAGGUAGCAGACUUAACUACUAUUUUCCUUAUCACCAUUACUGUAUCAUCUAUGCCAAUCAUCAAUGGAGCAAAUUCAGAAGUCUGUCAAUGCAGUUGAUUGUUAACAUUCCUACAUACUUAGUGAGACGAUUGUUAAGCUAAUAAAGGCCUGAUAAUAAGCAAGUACUAAUGCUGCUGAUGACUUGAUAAUCAAUGGUUCACUUCCUGGUACUGUAAUCAUUACAGUUAUGACCCAGGAAGGAGCAAGUAGUAGUAUUUCUGUGACUUUCUUCUACUGGUGAAAUGGCAUUUAAUAAGCACAGCACUGCUAUGUAUUUCAAAGUUGCUUACUUGAUGUGGAAAGUCCAGAAAUUCUACUAGUAUAAUUAAGAGCUUUACUACUACCACCAAUGCUGCUGCUACUACUGCUACCAUUAUGACCACUAAUACUAAUAAGGUGAAAGUUCACAAGCCUUAUCAACUAUGGCCAAUGUUUUUGUAUCUAGUAUGAUAAAUGGUUUGAGUGAACUUACACUUUCUGAAAAUUUUGGGCUGG
rnacentral:misc_RNA from 1 species